GAUGAACGCUGGCGGCGUGCCUAAUACAUGCAAGUCGAGCGAACGGACGAGAAGCUUGCUUCUCUGAUGUUAGCGGCGGACGGGUGAGUAACACGUGGAUAACCUACCUAUAAGACUGGGAUAACUUCGGGAAACCGGAGCUAAUACCGGAUGAUAUUUUGAACCGCAUGGUUCAAAAGUGAAAGACGGUCUUGCUGUCACUUAUAGAUGGAUCCGCGCUGCAUUAGCUAGUUGGUAAGGUAACGGCUUACCAAGGCAACGAUGCAUAGCCGACCUGAGAGGGUGAUCGGCCACACUGGAACUGAGACACGGUCCAGACUCCUACGGGAGGCAGCAGUAGGGAAUCUUCCGCAAUGGGCGAAAGCCUGACGGAGCAACGCCGCGUGAGUGAUGAAGGUCUUCGGAUCGUAAAACGCUGUUAUUAGGGAAGAACAUAUGUGUAAGUAACUGUGCACAUCUUGACGGUACCUAAGCAGAAAGCCACGGCUAACUACGU
rnacentral:rRNA from 1 species